CCUACGGGAGGCAGCAGUGGGGAAUAUUGGACAAUGGGCGAAAGCCUGAUCCAGCAAUGCCGCGUGAGUGAUGAAGGCCUUAGGGUUGUAAAGCUCUUUUACCAGGGAUGAUAAUGACAGUACCUGGAGAAUAAGCUCCGGCUAACUCCGUGCCAGCAGCCGCGGUAAUACGGAGGGAGCUAGCGUUGUUCGGAAUUACUGGGCGUAAAGCGUACGUAGGCGGUUAUUCAAGUCAGAGGUGAAAGCCUGGAGCUCAACUCCAGAACUGCCUUUGAAACUAGAUAGCUAGAAUCUUGGAGAGGUGAGUGGAAUUCCGAGUGUAGAGGUGAAAUUCGUAGAUAUUCGGAAGAACACCAGUGGCGAAGGCGACUCACUGGACAAGUAUUGACGCUGAGGUACGAAAGCGUGGGGAGCAAACAGGAUUAGAUACCCUGGUAGUCCACGCCGUAAACGAUGAUAACUAGCUGUUCGGGCUCUACGAGCUUGAGUGGCGCAGCUACGCAUUAAGUUAUUCCGUCCGUCGGGGUAGGUACGGUCGGCGAAGAAGUUAAAACGUUAAAAGGUAAAGUUAGUACGGCGUGAGACGUGCCGAACGGACGACCGACGAGGGAGGUAGG
rnacentral:rRNA from 1 species